AACGAACGCUGGCGGCGCGCUUAACACAUGCAAGUCGCACGGUCCAGUAUUUUCAAUGAGUUGAUUGCGUAGCAAUACUCAUGAUUCUCAAAGAAAAUACUGGAUAGUGGCAAACGGGUGAGUAACACGUGGAUAAUCUGCCCCUGAGUGGGGGACAACUCUGCGAAAGCGGAGCUAAUACCGCCUAAGACUACAGAAUCGCAUGAUUCAGUAGUAAAAGGUUUUCGAUUCUCGGAGGUCGCUCAGGGAUGAGUCCGCGUCUGAUUAGCUAGUUGGUAGGGUAACGGCCUACCAAGGCAACGAUCAGUAGCCGGCCUGAAAGGGUGUUCGGCCACAUUGGAAUUGAGAUACGGUCCAGACUCCUACGGGAGGCAGCAGUGGGGAAUCUUGCGCAAUGGGGGAAACCCUGACGCAGUGACGCCGCGUGAACGAUGAAGUCCUUCGGGAUGUAAAGUUCUGUCAGGCGGGAAGAACUCCCGAGAAAUCGGGAAUGACGGUACCGCCAGAGGAAGCACUGGCUAAUUCCGUGCCAGCGGCCGCGGUAACACGGAGAGUGCAAGCGUUGUUCGGAAUUACUAGGCGUAAAGGGCGUGUAGGUGGUUAGCCAAGUCAGAUGUGAAAAUUCCGAGCUCAACUCGGAACCUGCAUUUGAAACUGGUUAACUUGAGUGUAGGAGAGGAGAGCGGAAUUCCUAGUGUAGCGGUGAAAUGCGUAGAUAUUAGGAAGAACACCGGUGGCGAAUGCGGCUCUCUGGCCUAAAACUGACACUGAGACGCGAAAGCGUGGGGAGCGAACAGGAUUAGAUACCCUGGUAGUCCACGCCGUAAACGAUGGGCAUUAGGUGUAGGAGGUAUCCAAUCCUUCUGUGCCGAAGUUAACGCAUUAAAUGCCCCGCCUGGG
rnacentral:rRNA from 1 species